GGUUACAUUGGAUGAACUACAGAGGAGGUGCUCUCCUCCAGAGAGUUACUCAGCAAACACUGUUGUGGCUUAUCUACGGAAGGCCAAGGGACAAAAAACGAAAAUCACAGAGAAGUUGGCAGAGUUGGAGGUGAACCCCUCAAAGCGCACAAAGUUCACUUCACAGUGCUCCAAACUUUGUGAAGAUGAAUGCAAGGAUCUGGCUGGGGACAUAAUGUUCCUUGCCGCAAAAUUUAUCCCCCAGAAAAGGGUGGGUGAAGCCUUGCUUAAAGAAGGGAAUGUCCAUGCAUCUAUGGUCAAAACCGAAGACUGCAGGAAGACUUUGAAAGAUUUAAAGGCUGCUCUAGAGAACAAUUGGGACACAUUUGACCUGGCAACACAUGGUCUUGGUCCUGCUGUAAUAAAUGGCACUUUUUCGUUGAUAGAUGCGUGUCUUAAGGAAAAGAUGAGAGCACUGAAAAAAAAAGACUCCACAGAUGAGUAAGGUUCCCCCACUUUUGUUUACUUGUAUUGUUUCAAACUCUUGUUUCUCGAUGUU